UACGUAGGGUGCAAGCGUUAAUCGGAAUUACUGGGCGUAAAGCGUCCGCAGGUGGCUAUACAAGUCUGCUGUUAAAGCGUGGGGCUUAACUCCAUACAGGCAGUGGAAACUGUAAAGCUAGAGUCUGGUAGGGGUCACGGGAAUUCCCAGUGUAGCGGUGAAAUGCGUAGAUAUUGGGAGGAACACCAGUGGCGAAGGCGGCUACCUGGACCGGUUCUGACGCUGAGGCGCGAAAGCGUGGGUAGCAAACAGG
rnacentral:rRNA from 1 species